rnacentral:rRNA from 1 species
GACGAACGCUGGCGGCGUGCUUAACACAUGCAAGUCGAACGGAAAGGCCCUGCUUUUUUGUGGUUCUCGAGUGGCGAACGUGUGUGUAACCCGUGAGUCACCUUCCCUUUACUUUGGGAUAACUUCAGGCAGCUGGGGCUAAUACCUGCUAGGUGCUCCUGCUGCAUGGUGGGGUUUGGACCGUUUCGUCGGUUGGGGAUGGACUUAGGGCGUAUUAGCUUGUUGGUGGGGUAAUGGCCUACCAAGGCGUUGAUGGGUAGCCGGCCUGAGAGGAUGAUCGGUCACACUGGAACUGAGACACGGUCAAGACUACUAAGGGAGGCAGCAGUGGGGAAUAGUGGACAGUGGGCGAAAGCAUGAUACAGCGAGGCCGAGUGUGUGAAGAAGGUCUUGGGAGUGGAAAGAACGUUAAGGGGGGAGGAAGGGCAGUAAGUUAAUACCUUGCUGGAGUGACGGUAAUAAGAGAAGAAGCACCGGCUAACUUCGUG